rnacentral:misc_RNA from 1 species
UUUUGGCAAAGAAUAAUAUAUCUAACUUUAUAUGCUACAGAAUGAUUUCCAACGGAGAAGUCUAUUCAUGUGAUUACAAAGUUAGAUAUAUUAUUCUUUGCCAAAACAUCUACAUAUUUCUUGUAACCAAAGAUACAGGCAGCAUAGUUCUAUUACUGCGGCCUGUGUGUAAUCCAAACUGAUAAAGCAUACAUGUAGAUUGUAC